UGGAAUUCUGGUUGAGAUCCCAGUGCCUGAUGGGGCAAAAAUAAUGUUGCGGGUGGUUCUGGGUACAUGUCAUCAGGCCCCCCUCUCCCUCCCUCCAUGAAAUCAACAGCAGACAAUCGUUUCGUGCCUUUUUUCCUGGGUCACCUAUGCAGAUGCCAUACCACAGCAAGCAUGGAGCCCACUCAGCUCACCGUCACCGUAUGUCUUCUGGGUGCUGGCCGAUGGGGGACUGCAUUGCUACACAGCAGCAGCUCAUUGCCUUUUGGCAGCAGACAGUGCAUCGUCGUCGUACUCUUGGGUGCUCUUUUAGCCGACCUCGGUGAGGUCGGCCAGAGGCACCUGGGCAGACAUGGGAGUGACUCAGCCAGGUCAUUCCCUAGUCGUACUGCACUGUCUUCUGGCAAGCAGCCAGGAGAUGACUAUGGCUAGCAGUUGUACUGCACCAUCUGCUGCCAGCCUAAGAUGUAUCAGAUAGAUGGAGUGGAUCAAAACAAGAAAUAGACCAGAUUCGUUUUGUAUUCAUUUGCUCCACCCUCCCUCCGUGAAAUCAGUGGCCUGCUAAACCCAGGGUUUUGAGUUCAAUCCUUCAGGGGGCCAUUCUGUGUGACAGUUGUUUGUGUUUCUCCUUGAUGCAAAGCCACCCCCUUUGUUGAUUUUAAUUCCCUGUAAGCCAUGUCGUCAGUCUCCCCUCCUUCCGUCAGAGCAACGGCAGACAAUCGUUUCGUGCCUUUUUUCAGCGCAGAUGCCAGAGCACCAGGAACAUGGGAGCCCGCUCAAAUCACUGCAGCAAUUAUGAGCACUGUAAACACCAUGUGCAUUAUCCUGCAGUAUAUGCAGAACCAGAACCUGCAGAAGCGAAACCAGGCAAGGAGGCAACAGCAGCAUGGUGACGAGAGUGAUGAGGACAUAGCCUUCUCAUAAAGUACAGGCUCCAGCAAUGUGCACAUCCUGGUGUUAAUGGGGCAGGCUCAUACCCUGGAACGCUGAUUCUGGGCCCGGGAAACAAGCACAGAGUGGUGGGACCGCAUAGUGUUGCGGGUCUGGGACGAUUCCCAGUGGCUGCGAAACUUUCACAUGCGUAAAGGCAUUUUCAUGGAACUUUGUGACAUGCUUUCCCCUGCCCUGAAGCACCAGAAUACCAAGAUGAGAGCAGUCCUCACAGUUGAGAAGCGAGUGGUGAUAGCCCUGUGGAAGCUUGCAACGCCAGACAGCUGCCAGUCAGUUGGGCAUCAGUUUGGAGUGGGAAAAUCUACCGUGGGGGCUGCUGUAAUCCAAGUAGCCAAUGCAAUCAAAGAGCUGCUGAUAUCAAGGGUAGUGACUCUGGGAAAUGUACAGGCCAUAGUGGAUGGCUUUGCUGUAAUGGGAUUCCCUAACUGUGGUGGGGUGAUAGAUGGAAACCAUAUCCCUAUCUUGGCAUCGGUGCACCAAGCCACUCAACCAUACGCUGGAGCAUAUGAGUUCGAUGCUCCAGCAGCCUGAGAUUGACUGCUGCCUUCUGUCAGCAAGCUGAUGCCACCUGUCAUCUUCAGCCUACCGCUUAAUCUCUUUAGCCCGCCACCUCUCAUGUUCAUAUUGUGUUAUCCUGCACUCUGACAUUGUCUGCCUCCACACAUUCUGCUGUGCUUUGUCAGUGUGGAAGGACUGCAUGAGCUCAGAGAACAUUUCAUCCUGAGUGCAUUUUUUUCACCUUCUAAUCUUCACUAGCCUCUGGGAAGGAGAAACAUAUGCAGCUGGUGGAGGGGAAAAAAGGGAGAGUGGUAGUUAAGAAGACAUUUUAUAGAACAAUGGGUACACUCUUUCACCGUAAACCUUGUUGUUAACAUUACAUAACAUAUGUGCUUUUGUUACAAGGUCGCAUUUUGAUGGCUUCACCCCUUCCCCCACCACAUGGCUAACAGCAGGGAACAUUUCUGUUCAGCCACAGGCAAACAGCCCAGCAGGAACGGGCACCUCUGAAUGUCCGCUUAAUAAAACCGCCCUAUUUUAACCAGGUGACCAUGAAUGAUACCACUCUCCUGUGGAUAACACAGAGAGAUAAAGAACGGAUGUUUGAAUGCCAGCAAACACCAGGACCAUAUGCUGCAAUGCUUUGUUCUGCAAUGAUUCCCACAUAUGUGCUACUGGCCUGGCGUGGUAAAGUGUUCUACCAUGGAGAAUGGAAUAAGACUGUCCUCCCAGAAGCCUUUUGCAAAGGCUUUGGGAGUACAUCCAGGAGAGCUUUAUGGAGAUGUAUGGGGAUGGAGCGCAAAUCCUCCAGAGACAUGUUAACAGACUUUUCCAGUAGCUGUACUGGCCGCGAAUGCCAAGGCAAAUCAAUCAUUAAACACGCUUUUAAACUAUGUAUAAUACUUACAAAGGUAAACUCACCAGAGGUCCCUUCUCCGCCUUCAGGGUCCGGGAGCCCGCUUUGGGUGGGUUUGAGGGGUACUGGCUCCACGUCCAGGGUGAGAAACAGAUCCUGGCUGUUUGGGGAAACCGGUUUCUCUGCUUCCUUGCUGUGAGCUAUCUUCCUCGUCCCCAGAACCCACUUCCAUGUUGCAUCCUACUCCAUUGACGGAGUCAAAGCACAGGGUUGGGGUACUGGUGGCUGCACUCCCCAGAAUGGCGUGCAGCUCAUCAUAGAAGCUGCAUGUUUGGGGCUGUGACCUGGAGCAGCCAUUUGCUUCUCUGGUUUUUUGAUAGGCUUGCCUGAGCUUAAUUUUCAUGCAGCAUUGCCACAAGUCCUUGUUAUAGCCUCUGUCCUUCAUGCCCUUGGAGACUUUCAAAUGUUUUGGCAUUUCAUUUACUGGAACGGAGUUCAGCUGGCACAGAUUCAUCUCCCCAUACAGCGAUCAGAUCCCGUACCUCCCGUUCGGUCCAUGUUGGAGCUCUUUUGCGAUUCUGGGACUCCAUGGUCACCUCUGCUGAUGAGCUCUGCAUGGUCACCUGUGCUGAUCAGCUCGCAACACUGGCCAAACAGGAAAUGAAAUUCAAAAGUUUGCGGGACAUUUCCUGUCUACCUGGCCAGUGCAUCUGAGUUGAGAGCACUGUCCAGAGCGGUCACAAUGGAGCACUCUGGGAUAGCUCCCGGAGGCUAAUACUAUCAAAUUGCGUCCACACUACCCCAAAUUUGACCUGGCAAGGCCAAUUUCAGCGCUAAUCCCCUUGUCGGAGGUGGAGUAAAGAAAUCAAUUUUAAGAGCCCUUUAAGUCAGGGAAAAAAGGGCAUUUUCGUGGGGAUGGGUGCAGGGUUAAAUCGAGGUAACACUGCUAAAUUCCACCUAAAAUCGUAGUGUAGACCAGGCCUCAGGUGGAGAGACAAGUAUUUUGUUCUAAAUGAUCUGAUAUGAACGACAAUGAAUAGCCUCUUAUUACACUGGUCUACAAUUUUUGAGAAGUCGUCUGCUUCAGAGAUAAAAUGUGAUAUUUAUUACGUAUUUUGAUGUGCUGAAUUCAAAUAUGACAAUUAAAACAACUGAUUGGCUACUGUUUCUAAGAUAUUUAAGUUUUUACAUUUUAUGCCUAUGUGUAUUGUGUAGAUAGUAGAAUUUUAAUCAUAAAUUGUAAACCUAGGUCUUUUCAUGUGUUUAUGGUUGCUAUACAUGAUAACAUUUCACCUGUCCUGUUUAUGUAACACUUUAAAAAUCAGCAAAAGGGUUAUAUAAAUAAAAUUUAUUAUGAAACAAAA